GAUGAACGCUGGCGGCGUGCCUAAUACAUGCAAGUCGAGCGAACGGAUGAGAAGCUUGCUUCUCUGAUGUUAGCGGCGGACGGGUGAGUAACACGUGGAUAACCUACCUAUAAGACUGGGAUAACUUCGGGAAACCGGAGCUAAUACCGGAUAAUAUUUUGAACCGCAUGGUUCAAAAGUGAAAGACGGUCUUGCUGUCACUUAUAGAUGGAUCCGCGCUGCAUUAGCUAGUUGGUAAGGUAACGGCUUACCAAGGCAACGAUGCAUAGUCGACCUGAGAGGGUGAUCGGCCACACUGGAACUGAGACACGGUCCAGACUCCUACGGGAGGCAGCAGUAGGGAAUCUUCCGCAAUGGGCGAAAGCCUGACGGAGCAACGCCGCGUGAGUGAUGAAGGUCUUCGGAUCGUAAAACUCUGUUAUUAGGGAAGAACAUAUGUGUAAGUAACUGUGCACAUCUUGACGGUACCUAAUCAGAAAGCCACGGCUAACUACGUG
rnacentral:rRNA from 1 species